UUAAUACAUAUUUGAAUCAUGCAAUAAAAUAUGAUGAAGUUCAAAGAGGUUUGGAACCUUUGUUGUCUCCGUUUCUCUAGGUAAUAGCAAUUUUAUAGUGGUUAGUCCAAUGAUUUAGAGAGCAUUUGCAGUUUUGCUAAAUUAAUGGAUAAAAAAUUAUAACGAUGUCCAUGUACCAUGAAAUGAAGUUUAUCAUACAUUAAUACAAAGGUAUAAUGUGAAAAUUAGAAUGAUGUCCAGGUACCAUGAAAAGGAGCUUAUCAUAAAUUAAAACGAAUGUAUAAUGUGGUUAUAAAUUUUAAAACGAAUUAAAAGAUUAUAGGCUUCAUAUAUAGAGCAUUUACCAAAAACACGUAGAUUUUGAGAAAAAUUCAAAAAAUUUGACAAUACUGUUUUAAUGCAUAGUUGAAUCAUGUAAUAACAUAUGAUGAAGUUCAAAGAGGUUUAGAACCUUUGUUGUCUCCGUUUCUCUAAGGAAUAGCAAUUUUAUAGUGGUUAGUCUAAUGAUUAGGGAGUAUUUGCAGUUUUGCUAAAUUAAUUGAUAAAAAUUAGAACGAUGUCCAGGUACAAUGAAAAGGAGUUUAUCAUAAAUUAAUACAAAUGUAUAAUGUGGUUAUAAAUUUUAAAACGAAUUAAAAGAUUAUAGGCUUCAUAUAUAGAGCAUUUACCGAAAACUCACUAUUUUCGUAGGGGUUAAACACAUAGAUUUUGAGAAAAACUCAAAAAAUUUGAGAAUACUAUCGUAGGGGGGUUGGUACACAUAUAUUUUGAGAAAAAUUCAAAAAAUUUGAGAAUACUGUUUUAAUACAUAUUUGAAUCAUGUAAUAAAAUAUGAUGAAGUUCAAAGAGGUUUGGAACCUUUGUUAUCAUUGUUUCUCUAAGGAAUAGCAGUUUUAUAGUGGCUAGUCCAAUGAUUUAGGGAGUAUUUACAUUUUUGCUAAAUUAAUUGAUUAAAAAUUAGAACGAUGUCCAUGUACCAUGAAAAGGAGUAUAUCAUAAAUUAAUACAAAUGUAUAAUGUGGUUAUAAAUUUUAAAACGAAUUUAAUGAUUAUAAGCUUCAUAUAUAGAGCAUUUACCGAAAACUCAUUAUUUUCGUAGGGGUUAACACAUAGAUUUUGAGAAAAACUCAAAAAAAUUGAGAAUACUAUUUUAAUACAUAUUUGAAUCAUGUAAGAAUAUAUGAUGAAGUUCAAAGAGGUUUGGAACCUUUGUUGUCUCCGUUUCUCUAGGGAAUAGCAAUUUUAUAGUGGUUAGUCUAAUGAUUAGGGAGUAUUAGGAAUGGCAAUUUUAUAGUGGUUAGUCUAAUGAUUUAGGGAGUAUUUGCAGUUUUGCUAAAUUAAUUGAUGAAAAUUAGAACGAUGUCCAGGUACCAUGAAAAGGAGUUUAUCAUAAAUUAAUACAAAUGCAUAAUGUGGUUUUAAAUUUUAAAACGAAUUAAAAGAUUAUAAGCUUCAUAUAUAGAGCAUUUACCGAAAACUCACUAUUUUCGUAGGGG
rnacentral:lncRNA from 1 species